GCGCAAUGGGCGAAAGCCUGACGCAGCGACGCCGCGUGGGGGAUGACGGCCUUCGGGUUGUAAACCUCUUUCAGCAGGGACGAAGUUGACGUGUACCUGCAGAAGAAGCGCCGGCUAACUACGUGCCAGCAGCCGCGGUAAUACGUAGGGCGCAAGCGUUGUCCGGAAUUAUUGGGCGUAAAGAGCUCGUAGC
rnacentral:rRNA from 1 species